rnacentral:rRNA from 1 species
AUACGUAGGGUGCAAGCGUUAAUCGGAAUUACUGGGCGUAAAGCGUGCGCAGGCGGUUUUGUAAGACAGUGGUGAAAUCCCCGGGCUCAACCUGGGAACUGCCAUUGUGACUGCAAGGCUGGAGUGCGGCAGAGGGGGAUGGAAUUCCGCGUGUAGCAGUGAAAUGCGUAGAUAUGCGGAGGAACACCGAUGGCGAAGGCAAUCCCCUGGGCCUGCACUGACGCUCAUGCACGAAAGCGUGGGGAGCAAACAGGAUUAGAUACCCUGGUAGUCCACGCCCUAAACGAUGUCAACUGGUUGUUGGGGAUUCAUUUUCUCAGUAACGAAGCUAACGCGUGAAGUUGACCGCCUGGGGAGUACGGCCGCAAGGUUAAAACUCAAAGGAAUUGACGGGG